UUAGAGUUUGAUCCCUGGCUCAGAUUGAACGCUGGCGGCAGGCCUAACACAUGCAAGUCGAGCGGUAACAGGGGUAGCUUGCUACCCGCUGACGAGCGGCGGACGGGUGAGUAAUGCAUAGGAAUCUGCCCGAUAGUGGGGGAUAACCUGGGGAAACCCAGGCUAAUACCGCAUACGUCCUACGGGAGAAAGGGGGCUUCGGCUCUCGCUAUUGGAUGAGCCUAUGUCGGAUUAGCUAGUUGGUGAGGUAAUGGCUCACCAAGGCAACGAUCCGUAGCUGGUCUGAGAGGAUGAUCAGCCACAUCGGGACUGAGACACGGCCCGAACUCCUACGGGAGGCAGCAGUGGGGAAUAUUGGACAAUGGGCGAAAGCCUGAUCCAGCCAUGCCGCGUGUGUGAAGAAGGCCCUCGGGUUGUAAAGCACUUUCAGCGAGGAAGAACGCCUAGUGGUUAAUACCCAUUAGGAAAGACAUCACUCGCAGAAGAAGCACCGGCAA
rnacentral:rRNA from 1 species